rnacentral:rRNA from 1 species
AUUGAACGCUGGCGGCAGGCCUAACACAUGCAAGUCGAGCGGAUGAAGGGAGCUUGCUCCUGGAUUCAGCGGCGGACGGGUGAGUAAUGCCUAGGAAUCUGCCUGGUAGUGGGGGAUAACGUCCGGAAACGGGCGCUAAUACCGCAUACGUCCUGAGGGAGAAAGUGGGGGAUCUUCGGACCUCACGCUAUCAGAUGAGCCUAGGUCGGAUUAGCUAGUUGGUGGGGUAAGGGCCUACCAAGACGACGAUCCGUAACUGGUCUGAGAGGAUGAUCAGUCACACUGGAACUGAGACACGGUCCAGACUCCUACGGGAGGCAGCAGUGGGGAAUAUUGGACAAUGGGCGAAAGCCUGAUCCAGCCAUGCCGCGUGUGUGAAGAAGGUCUUCGGAUUGUAAAGCACUUUAAGUUGGGAGGAAGGGCAGUAAGUUAAUACCUUGCUGUUUUGACGUUACCAACAGAAUAAGCACCGGCUAACUUCGUG